rnacentral:rRNA from 1 species
CCCUUAGAUGUUCUGGGCUGCACGCGCGCUACACUGAUGCGUUCAACAAGUUGGACCUCGUCCGAGAGGAAAUCGGGGGAAUCUUUUGAAAACGUAUCGUGAUGGGGAUAGAUUAUUGUAAUUAUUAAUCUUCAACGAGGAAUUCCUAGUAAGCAUGAGUCAUCAGCUCGUGCUGAUUACGUCCCUGCCCUUUGUACACACCGCCCGUCGCUCCUACCGAUUGAGUGGUCCGGUGAAUUAACCAGAUUGUGGCGAGGGUAGUUUUCUGCUAUUGCUACGAAAAGGUUUGUGAACCUUAUCACUUAGAGGAAGGAGAAGUCGUAACA